ACACGACUACAUUAGAUACCCCGGUAGUCCUAGCCGUAAACGAUACUCGCUAGGUGUCGGCCACGGUGCGACCGUUGUCGGUGCCGUAGGGAAGCCGUGAAGCGAGCCACCUGGGAAGUACGGCCGCAAGGCUGAAACUUAAAGGAAUUGGCGGGGGAGCACAACAACGGGUGGAGCUUGCGGUUUAAUUGGAUUCAACGCCGGAAAUCUUACCGGGACCGACAGCAACAUGAAGGCCAAGCUGAAGACUUUGCCGGAUUAGCCG
rnacentral:rRNA from 1 species